rnacentral:snRNA from 1 species
AGCUUUGCACAGUGGCAGUAUUGUAGCCAAUGAGGUUUAUCCGAGGUGCAAUUAUUGCUAAUUGAUUAUUGCUAAUAAAAAAGUAUUCUCCACACUAUCACAAUCACAGCUGAAAAUAUUGACAGUCAUUUCCUAGUG